AUUGAACGCUGGCGGCAGGCCUAAAACAUGCAAGUCGCACGAGUGGCGGACGGGUGAGUAAUGGCUGGGAAACUGCCCGAUGGAGGGGGAUAACUACUGGAAACGGUAGCUAAUACCGCAUACAAUCGGAUGUGCCCAGAUGGGAUUAGCUAGUCGGUGGGGUAACGGCGCACCUAGGCGACGCUCACUAGCUGGUCUGAGAGGAUGACCAGCCACACUGGAACUGAGACACGGUCCAGACUCCUACGGUAGGCAGCAGUGGUGAAUAUGGCACAAUGGGCGCAAGCCUGAUGCAGCCAUGCCGGUUGUAUGAAGAAGGCCUUCGGGUGGUAAAGUACUUUCAGCGAGGAGGCGUUACUCGCAGAAGAAGCACCGGCUAACUCCGUGCCAGCAGCCGCGGUAAUUC
rnacentral:rRNA from 1 species